rnacentral:rRNA from 1 species
CCUACGGGAGGCUGCAGUGGGGAAUAUUGGACAAUGGGGGGAACCCUGAUCCAGCCAUGCCGCGUGUGUGAAGAAGGCCCUCGGGUUGUAAAGCACUUUCAGUGAGGAAGAACGCCUGGUGGUUAAUACCCAUCAGGAAAGACAUCACUCACAGAAGAAGCACCGGCUAACUCCGUGCCAGCAGCCGCGGUAAUACGGAGGGUGCGAGCGUUAAUCGGAAUUACUGGGCGUAAAGCGCGCGUAGGUGGCUUGAUAAGCCGGUUGUGAAAGCCCCGGGCUCAACCUGGGAACGGCAUCCGGAACUGUCAAGCUAGAGUGCAGGAGAGGAAGGUAGAAUUCCCGGUGUAGCGGUGAAAUGCGUAGAGAUCGGGAGGAAUACCAGUGGCGAAGGCGGCCUUCUGGACUGACACUGCCACUGAGGUGCGAAAGCGUGGGUAGCAAACAGGAUUAGAUACCCGGGUAGUC